AGGAAAAUCUGAUUAGAACUGAAACUAGAAGUCUUACAAUUGUUUUAAAUGUGUGGUGUAAAUGCAAAUGACAGUUUUCAAUGUUUUCACAUUUUGGCUGCAGAACUGAUUUGUAUAAAACCUUUGUUUGAUGGAAAUGGGGAAUAUAUCAAAGAGACAACAACCAAACCAAAGAGCCAAAGGCCACAAACAGUUCUUCAAUGUAGAGAGAAAAUCCUGCACCCGGAUGUGGAUCUCAGCUGGCCCCUACAUAAGAGUCUGUCAAAGAUUACCUUAGUCAUAUUUGAAGCACCUUUUUGGAAUUUAGUGACCUCAAAGCUUUAACUCUAUACUUGUUUGAAUUUAUUACUAUUUUAAUCUUAGCGUCAUGGAUGAGUCUUAUGUAGACGAAACGCUCGUCUGGCGUAUUAAAUUAUAAGCCUGG
rnacentral:lncRNA from 1 species